UACGAAGGGGGCUAGCGUUGUUCGGAAUUACUGGGCGUAAAGCGCACGUAGGCGGAUUUGUAAGUCAGGGGUGAAAUCCCGGGGCUCAACCUCGGAACUGCCUUUGAUACUGCAAAUCUCGAGUCCGAUAGAGGUGGGGUGGAAUUCCUAGUGUAGGAGGUGAAAUUCGUAGAUAUUAGGAAGAACACCGGUGGCGAAGGCGGCCCAGCUGGAUCGGUACUGACGCUGAGGUGCGAAAGCGUGGGGAGC
rnacentral:rRNA from 1 species